CAAUAGUUUUUUAAUUGAAAGCUGGAAUGAAGGGUUGGAUAAAAAAAUAACUGUUUCUAUUUAAUUUAAUUAGAAUUUUAUAUUUAAGUUAAAAAGCUUAAAUUUUGUUAAAAGACGAGAAGACCCUAUAGAGUUUAAUAAAUAAUUAUAUUAUUAUAUUUAGAAUUAAUUUUAUUAAUUAUAUUAUUUAUUUAAUUGGGGUGAUUAAAAAAUUCAAAUAACUUUUUUUAUAUUAUAACAUUUAUAGGUGAAUAUUUGAUCCAUGGUUAAUGAUUAAAAGAUAAAAUUACCUUAGGGAUAACAGCGUUAUUUUUUUUUAGAGUUCAAAUCGAAAGAAAAGAUUGCGACCUCGAUGUUGGAUUAAAAUAAAUUUUUGGUGUAGAAGCUAAAAUAUUAGGUCUGUUCGACCUUUAAAAUUUUACAUGAUC
rnacentral:rRNA from 1 species